rnacentral:rRNA from 1 species
AAACUAACUAGGAUGCCUUCAGUAACGGCGAGCGAAGCAGGCAUAGCUCAAAUUUGUAAUCUGGCGUCUUUGACGUCCGAGUUGUAUUUACUAGAAGCGAGUUCGGCGACAGCUCCUACCCAAGUCCGUUGGAACGCGGCGUCAUGGAGGGUGAGAAUCCCGUGAAUGGUAGGAUGACUGCUGCUAUGUGAACCGCCUUCAAAGAGUCGAGUUGUUUGGGAAUGCAGCUCUAAAUGGGAGGUAAAUUUCUUCUAAAGCUAAAUAUUGGCCAGAGACCGAUAGCGAACAAGUAGAGUGAUCGAAAGAUGAAAAGAACUUUGAAAAGAGAGUUAAACAGUACGUGAAAUUGUUGAAAGGGAAGCGCUUGAGAUCAGACUUCCUGUCUAAACUGUCCUUGCUUCUGCUUGGAAUCACAGUUUAGGCGUGGAGGCCAGCAUGAGUUUUGACGGCCGGAUAAAGGCCUUGGGAAGGUAGCUCCUUUCGGGGAGUGUUAUAGCCCAGGGUGUAAUACGGCCAGUUGGGACUGAGGACCGCGGCUUUGCCUAGGAUGCUGGCGUAAUGGUCUUAAGCGAC